GAUGAACGCUAGCUACAGGCUUAACACAUGCAAGUCGAGGGGAAACGAUAGAGAAAGCUUGCUUUUUCUAGGCGUCGACCGGCGCACGGGUGAGUAACGCGUAUCCAACCUGCCCAUCACUUGGGGAUAACCUUGCGAAAGUAAGACUAAUACCCAAUGACGUCUCUAGAAGACAUCUGAAGGAGAUUAAAGAUUUAUCGGUGAUGGAUGGGGAUGCGUCUGAUUAGCUUUGUUGGCGGGGUAACGGCCCACCAAGGCGACGAUCAGGUAGGGGUUCUGAGAGGAACGGCCCCCCACAUUGGAACUGAGACACGGUCCAAACUCCUACGGGAGCAGCAGUGAGGAAUAUUGGUCAAUGGACGAGAGUCUGAACCAGCCAAGUAGCGUGCAGGAUGACGGCCCUAUGGGUU
rnacentral:rRNA from 1 species